UUUUGGCCAACUUACAAACAUUGGUUUGUCUUAAAGUAACUUGGUCGGUUUUAAUUUUUAGCUAGCCAAUAAUAGUUUCAGGAAAAUUAGUUAAUGGAUUAUAAUGAUUGCUACGUUUGUUGGUUCUUAAAAGUUUUGUUUGGAUGAUUACCACAAAAAACUUAUCAAUUGCUUCAACUGUUUAUAUCUGUGGUCAGAGUUUGAACUGCACAAUCGAACAAAUUUGAUAAUUUGUUACUGAAAUCUUGUCUGUGACUGUGAAUCUUGGUAAUUGAAAUCAUGUCCGAAUAUUAUCUAUGAGUGAAGUUUCUGACCAUACAGAUCUAAGCUUGCAGGACUGUUCUUAGUUGUCGCAGGUUGGAAUCCGGUUUCUGCAAUCAAAGUAGCAUGCGCAGCAGAGUGCUCUGCUUGGUUCAUACUUGGAUGAGCAUUUCUUAACAGCCACGUUUGGAGGAAGAAGGAGCAAGGAACCAAAUCCUAGAAAGCACGCGAAGGAAGCGCGUGAAAUGAAA